rnacentral:rRNA from 1 species
GAUGAACGCUGGCGGCGUGCCUAAUACAUGCAAGUCGAGCGAACAGACGAGGAGCUUGCUCCUCUGACGUUAGCGGCGGACGGGUGAGUAACACGUGGAUAACCUACCUAUAAGACUGGGAUAACUUCGGGAAACCGGAGCUAAUACCGGAUAAUAUAUUGAACCGCAUGGUUCAAUAGUGAAAGACGGUUUUGCUGUCACUUAUAGAUGGAUCCGCGCCGCAUUAGCUAGUUGGUAAGGUAACGGCUUACCAAGGCAACGAUGCGUAGCCGACCUGAGAGGUUGCCCGCCCCCUGUGGAGCUGACCCCGGGCCCGGCCUCCUCGGGGGGGCGGCGGGCGGAAUUCUUCCGCAAGGGGCGAGCGCCUGCGGGAGCACCGCCGGGGGGGUGAUAAGGGUUUUCGGUUCUUAAAUCUUUGUUAUGGGAAAAAAAAAAAUGGGAAAGUAACUAUGCCCGUCUGGCCGGCCCCAAAAAAAAAACCCCCGCCUACCUCCGU